AGUGAGUGGAGUUUAUUUUUAUAAUUUGUAGAAAAUUGACAUUUAGAUUUCAAAACUUAUAUUACAAAAUUAUCAGCAGCAGUCUUAAGCAUUUCAACCAUGCUGAUAGAUUCCACUUUGCUAACACAAACAAGGCUAUUAUACUAUGUUUGAAAAGCAAGACUUGUUCCAAGACGGCCUAUUAUUAUACAUCUGCCUCACUGCUCAGGACCCGUUUGUGACUGUGUCUUCUUCCAUCUCUUCUUCACCAUCAUCAGUGGGCCCCAAUCUGCGUUCUCUGCCAGGGAUCUGACCAGACUGCAGCAACCCCUUCAGCCUCUCCACUUCAGCCAGAGUUGAAGCAUUUGCUAUAGCAUUCUUGAUUGCUUCUACAUCCCCUGGAGAUGGCCCACCUUUCUUUUUGUCAGUUGGCAAACCAGCACCUGGAUUAAAAUUUCACUUUCUGGAAAUCCAGUACUCUGAUUUGCGGAACUUUAUAAAUCACAUACAAUCUGUAAUGCUUCUUAUUGGUUACUGGAUUUCUUAGGAUACUUAGGUAAGUCAGCGAUUUGAGAGAUGCCAGAGGGUCCAGAUCACCCAGUUCCACGAGCCUAUUAUUGGUGAGAAUGAGUUCUGUCAGACAGGGCAGAGCCUGAUCAAGUCCCUCACCUAUACGGCAUAUUCUGUUUUGUUCACUAACAACGUUUUCAGUCUUCUCAACAAAGGAAAACCAUCCAGUUUCCUGAUCUCAUUGUCAGAAAAAUCAAUAGCAUCAAACUGGUCUAACGUAGCACCUAGAUUUUCAAUGACGGGAAUUUUAUACCCCCGGAGGUCCAGCUCCCGGUCGCGCACCGCGCUGGUGUACUGCGCCGCCUGCUCGAUCAGCUCCGCCGUCAGCUUGACCAUCCUGCGGCCUCCCGUUCCCCC
rnacentral:lncRNA from 1 species